GCGUCAUUGAUCUGUGAGAUUUCAACAGCUGGAGAUGUUUACAAAACGUGAAAGAAAUAAAUAAAGUGACCCCUUCAAAUUCGCGGAUCGGAAAUUGAUAUUUAUCGCCAUGCAUCGAUCAACUGAUGCUGUCAGUCCAGCAUUUGCCAUUGGGCUGUCUUUAAAUUCACAAAAUCAAUUAACUAUAUUUCAACGUUCUAAAAACAAGUGAGAGCGUUGAAAUCGUGCGUAAUCAUUAACAGGUGGCAAAUAAACAAUUUGUGGAUUGGGCAAGAUCGUGGCCGGAUGAGGCUGAAGGCGUCUCGUUCAUUCAUUAAAGUACUUUUUAAAUGAGUUAAAACUGAUGGAUAAAGUGAUCGUCUUGCAAAGUCGGGACUAAGCAUACCUUUUUU